rnacentral:rRNA from 1 species
CUAACACAUGCAACGUCGAGAGGGCUAGCAUGAAAGUAGCAAUACUUUUGAUGACGACCGGCGCGACGGGUGAGUAACGCGUAUGCAACCUACCUACUACAGGGGAAUAGCCCGAAGAAAUUCGGAUUAAUGCCGCAUAAUACAGGGGCACCGCAUGGUGAUAUUUGUUAAAGAUUAAUUGGUAGUAGAUGGGCAUGCGUUCCAUUAGCCAGUUGGUGAGGUAACGGCUCACCAAAGCAACGAUGGAUAGGGGAACUGAGAGGUUUAUCCCCCACACUGGUACUGAGACACGGACCAGACUCCUACGGGAGGCAGCAGUGAGGAAUAUCGGUCAAUGGGCGAGAGCCUGAACCAGGCAAGUCGCGUGAAGGAUGACUGCCCUAUGGGUUGUAAACUUCUUUAGUACUGGGGUAAAAAAGAGGACGUGU